rnacentral:rRNA from 1 species
GACGAACCGUGCGAACGUUGUUCGGAAUCAUUGGGCUUAAAGGGCGCGUAGGCGGGCUUCCGAGUCCGGGGUGAAAUCCUCCAGCUCAACUGGAGAACUGCCCCGGAUACUGGAGGUCUCGAGGGGGGUAGGGGCAUGCGGAACUGUGGGUGGAGCGGUGAAAUGCGUUGAUAUCCACAGGAACUCCGGUGGCGAAGGCGGCUCACUGGACCGGUAUUGACGCUGAGGUGCGAAAGCGUGGGGAGCAAACAGG